rfam:Pteropus alecto contig62666, whole genome shotgun sequence.
GGCUCCAUAGUGUAGUGGUUAGCACGUCUGCUUUACACGCAGAAGGUCUUGGGUUCGCGCUCCAGAUGGAGCCA